CAGUCCGCGGGAAAACGAGGGGGCUAGCGUUGCUCGGAAUUACUGGGCGUAAAGGGAGCGUAGGCGGACUGUUUAGUCAGAGGUGAAAGCCCAGGGCUCAACCUUGGAAUUGCCUUUGAUACUGGCAGUCUUGAGUACGGAAGAGGUAUGUGGAACUCCGAGUGUAGAGGUGAAAUUCGUAGAUAUUCGGAAGAACACCAGUGGCGAAGGCGACAUACUGGUCCGUUACUGACGCUGAGGCUCGAAAGCGUGGGGAGCAAACAGGAUUAGAUACCCGGGUAGUCCCUGUCUCUUAUACACA
rnacentral:rRNA from 1 species